rnacentral:rRNA from 1 species
GCCAGACUCCUACGGGAGGCAGCAGUGAGGAAUAUUGGUCAAUGGGCGGGAGCCUGAACCGGCCAAGUCGCGUGAGGGAAGACGGUCCUACGGAUUGUAAACCUCUUUUGCCGGGGAGCAACGGGGUCCUUGCGAGGGCCCAAUGAGAGUACCCGGAGAAAAAGCAUCGGCUAACUCCGUGCCAGCAGCCGCGGUAAUACGGAGGAUGCGAGCGUUAUCCGGAUUUAUUGGGUUUAAAGGGUGCGUAGGCGGAGUGUCAAGUCAGCGGUAAAAUUUCGGGGCUCAACCCCGUCGUGCCGUUGAAACUGACACCCUUGAGUGAGUGAGAAGUAAGCGGAAUGCGUGGUGUAGCGGUGAAAUGCAUAGAUAUCACGCAGAACUCCGAUUGCGAAGGCAGCAUACCGGCGCCCAACUGACGCUGAAGCACGAAAGCGUGGGUAUCGAACAGGAUUAGAUACCCCCGUAA